AGUCGUAACAAGGUUUCCGUAGGUGAACCUGCGGAAGGAUCAUUAACACGUAUCCAAACGUUAAACCCCCCUGUGAACCUUCAGUCGUACUCGUACGUCCGUCGCAGUCACGAUCGUUGGAGGCCCACACGGCCGACGACCGGGUCACUGGGUGCAAGCCCCCUUAUCACACCCCUGCUCUAUCUAUGGUGAUCCUGCGGGAAGUCCUGCGGUCGAACGCCGAAACCGAACAACUGUUAACAAUGGAUAUCUUGGUUCUC
rnacentral:misc_RNA from 1 species